rnacentral:misc_RNA from 1 species
GAAAUGCGAUAAGUAAUGUGAAUUGCAGAAUUCAGUGAAUCAUCGAAUCUUUGAACGCAUAUUGCGCCCGGCAGCAAUCUGCCGGGCAUGCCUGUCCGAGCGUCAUUUCUGCCCUCGAGCGCGGUUCGGCCCCUAGCGGGCCGGCCGCCGCCCGGUGUUGGGGCGCUGCGGGCCCUCGUGCCCGCAGGCCCUGAAAUGAAGUGGCGGUCCCGCCGCGGCGCCCCCUGCGUAGUAGUAAAGCACCUCGCAUCGGGUCCCGGCGGAGGCCAGCCGUCGAACCUCUCUUUUGAUGGUUUGACCUCGGAUCAGGUAGGGUUACCCGCUGAACUUAAGC